CAUUCGCAGUUUCACAGUUCGAAUUAGUUCAUACUUGCACAUGCAUGGCUUAAUCUUUGAGACAAGCAUAUGACUACUGGCAGGAUCAACCAGGUAGCACGUCCUCCUCGACAAGCCGGCAACGACUGCUGCACUAGGCAUCAACCGGGCCGGCUGUCGUGUAUUUGAAAGCUCCAACUUUGAGAGGAACGAGAAGCUGAAGUAGCCUCGUCCUAUAUCGUUUGCGUCAUCCGGAACUGAUAGCACAAGCGAGGUAGCCUUGGUGGAAUUGGCCGAUGAGAUCAUUACCCACGAGGCAACGCCGAUUGGCUAUAAAACUGACGCAUCACACCCAAAGGGUGGACGUGACGAAGGCAACUUGAAGCGAAUGCAGCUUCCCAAGAAACAGGUAGCAGCACGCAAGCACUCAUUAAUGGUCGGCAUUGUUCCCACGGGACUGAGGGGACACAAGCGUCGAGAGUCGGCCGCACAAGGGCGGGGGGCCUCCCGAUAGUCACAGGUCCAAGACAACUCAUGCGCCAGCCGAUACACGGCAUCUAAGCCACCCAAAGCAUCCCUCCACGCAGUGCAUGGCGAGUCUACUUAUGAGGAAGGCAGCCAACGGACCACUGAGCGCGAUAACGAACAAUAUUCAUCCCACCUUCAACCAAACUCGGUCGAGUAGUGACAAGCCUUAGCGAACCGGUGCAAAUUUCAGAGGCUCAGGGAAUGAGUUCAAAGACAUGUUGACCGAAGCGUCGGAAUCCCCAAGCUCGAACGCUGGAAACGAGAGCAACCCAUCGCCGAGGCCAGUCUACGAGUCCCCCUUGCACAAACUUGAGAAAUGAGUUCAAUGCCAACAUGACCAAACGGUCGGAAUCCCUGAGCAACUGAAAUCCAUCCCGGCUUACCUUGGCAAGCCCCUAUACGACCAUGUCUGUUGGUGCAGUGCUCCGAGUCUUGGGAAAUGAGUUCAAAGACAUAUGACCGAAGCAUCGGAAUCCCCAAGGCUGAACGUAGGAAACAAGAGCAGGCCAUCGCCGAAACCAGUCUACGAGCCCCCCUUGCCCGAACUUGAGAAAUGAGUUCAAAGCCACAUGACCGAACGUGGCAGGCCGCCUCGAAGCUCCCUUCCUCACGGGCAGCGGGCUGAAUCGUUUGCAGACGACUUAAAUACGCGACGGGGCAUUGUAAGUGGCAGAGUGGCCUUGCUACCACGAUCCACUGAGAUCCAGCCCCGCGUCACACGUAUUCGUUCCUCCCCCCUCCACACACAUUCAAAAGUUCAGGCUCGGAAGGAUGAUGCUCGUCAAAGAUAUUGCGAGCAAAUAUCUUUCGACUCCCUCCUCACUCUGUGAUUUUACUCCUUGCUCAAUUGCACUGAUUUUUCUCAAGGGAAAGUGCAAAUCCAUGACAGGGAGACAAGGAUUCGUUCACGAGGUGAGGUACAGGCUAUUGCUUUAGUUUUUUCUGGUUAUCAUGGUUGUGUCCUAAUGGAUAAAAUGACUGUUUAGCGAUUUCUGCAUGACGCAUUUGAUUCCAUCGAUUUAGUGGAGUGUAUAGUGUAGAUCUAGUGGGGAUUUUUGAGAGGUGCGUCCAUGUUCGGAAACAAUGAGUUUUUUAAGUAGUAUUAUUAUGCCCUGUGAUUUUGAGCAAAUCGUGGAUUGAGAGGUGCAUCUGCAGGUGAAGGAGCAUGUAACACACCACUAGAUCAUCUUCGGUGUUUUUUUUUUGGUGAAUCCAGAUUAGUCUAGUUCUGGUUGUGGGUGGCGGUAGCAACACAUGUUAGGUGAGUUUUUUCCGUAUGUUCAUGAUGUUCCAGUGCAAAUCCAAUUUUGGUGGGAUACUCGAUGAUUGCACACACCCAUAAUUUUUUGCACUGGACGCCAUAUGUUUUACACUAGAUAUAGUUUUUGCACAUUGCAUCUUCGCUUCCCUGCUUAAUAUUUUGAUGACUACACAUCAUACUUUCCACCACUAUGUACUCAAAGCUACAAUGCAAUUGAAUACGUAUUGAUAGACAUUUGACUGUUGAGCCUCUUAUAUUGAUCAGAAAAAGAAAAACACUUGGACUCACUAAAAGAUUUACUUAAGAUUGGUGAGUCAAACACCAUCCCAAAGCAUUUCUUCUAGGUUGUUGUUCUUCCUUCAUAUAUGUGCUAUGAUGUUGAUGUUUUAGUCUUAGCACAUUUCUCCCUUGCUAUGGUGUGAUUAUUUUGAAGGACUUCCUACUGACCAGGCUCAAAAUUCUUUGGGUUCUUCAAAUUACAAGGAAUGAGAGGGAUGACUAGAAUGCUCUAGGAAACAUCACUACUUGACCCAUUGGAGAUAAAUGAACUUUCAUAGCUGCCACCAUCACCUUCUGCUUGCUGCUAGCCAAG